rnacentral:tRNA from 1 species
GCCCCCGAAAAGGCCCAAAAUCAGAUUCCUAAUCUGGGGGCCACAGGUUCGAAUCCUGUCGGGCGCACCA